rnacentral:lncRNA from 1 species
AAAAUUAUAAGAUAUUAUUAUCUAUAAAAUUUAGGAAACUCAAUUCCACCAUAAACUCUACACAAAUUCUCUCGCUACACAAAUACCCAAUCCACCAUACCCACCUCAAAUCCAGUAGAUCUCUUUGCAUACAACUUCUCAAAAUUUUCCAUUCCCUCAUCCCUAAUUUCAAUCAUACACAUCUAUUGAUCUGAUGAUCUCUCAUAUCCUUUUUAAAACAUAUCAAUUGCCUUUUCGCAUCGGAUCCAUGAGCUCCAAUCGUAGUCGAGGAAGAAGAUUUGUGUGUAUUGUUUGCAGGAGAAUCACGGCCAGAGAAGGAGAUUGACUAUGACGAAUUCUCCGGCGAGAAUUGGAACUUUUGAUGGAUAUAUAAAAGAGCUCUUGUUGCUUUGAUUCUCAUCUUUGUCAUCGUGAUGAUUUUUUGUCAAAUCCAAUAAUUUGAUUCUGUAGUUAAUGUAUUAGGUUUAUGGUUUUUGAUUGUUAGAAAAAAAAAAGGUUAAAACCCCAACCUUAACUUCAAUCUUGAGGGUCCCCACAGCACCGUCCGUAGAGCUUUGUGAGGGAAGUAAAUUGCGGGAUGUGCCCCAACAGGCCAGGAAACAAGAGCUGCAUGUACACUGCGCUUACAAGGAGUUCAAUUCCAUAUCUCAGGAAUCGAACCCCCACACUACGGCUGUCAGUAAGGCGUGAGAUAAUCUCACUCCUAUCCUUUGCACAACUAGGAUAUGCCCCAAGGGGUUUAUGGUUUUUGAUUGUUUGAAUUAUAACUGGUGUAUUGCUAUUUACAUCCAUGUUUUUUUAAAAACUAGUUUUCCGUCCGUUCAAUACACGAGUUAUGUCAUUUUUUAGAUAAUAUUAAGUUAUUAACAUGUCAAAAUAUCUAUUCAAUUCUCUCA